AGCGAACGCUGGCGGCAGGCUUAACACAUGCAAGUCGAACGCAUCCUUCGGGGUGAGUGGAAGACGGGUGAGUAACGCGUGGGAACAUGCCCUUUGGUUCGGAAUAACUCAGGGAAACUUGAGCUAAUACCGGAUAAGCCCUUUUGGGGAAAGAUUUAUCGCCGAAGGAUUGGCCCGCGUCCGAUUAGCUAGUUGGUGAGGUUAUGGCUCACCAAGGUGACGAUCGGUAGCUGGUCUGAGAGGAUGAUCAGCCACACUGGGACUGAGACACGGCCCAGACUGCUACGGGAGGCAGCAGUGGGGAAUAUGGGACAAUGGGGGCAACCCUGAUCCAGCCAUGCCGCGUGAGUGAUGAAGGCCCUAGGGUUGUAAAGCUCUUUCGGCGGGGACGAUAAUGACGGUACCCGCAGAAGAAGCCCCGGCUAACUUCGUGCCAGCCGCCGCGGUAA
rnacentral:rRNA from 1 species